GACGUAGGGCGCGAGCGUUGUCCGGAUUUACUGGGCGUAAAGCGCGUGUAGGCGGCCAUGCAAGUCGGAUGUGAAAGCCCUCGGCUCAACCGGGGAAGUGCACUCGAAACUGCAAGGCUAGAGUCUCGGAGAGGAUCGUGGAAUUCUCGGUGUAGAGGUGAAAUUCGUAGAUAUCGAGAGGAACACCGGUGGCGAAGGCGGCGAUCUGGACGAUGACUGACGCUGAGACGCGAAAGCGUGGGGAGCAAACAGG
rnacentral:rRNA from 1 species